CCAGUGGCCGGAAGAGCACCGCACGUCGCGCGGUGUCCGGUGCGCCCCCGGCGGCCCAUGAAAAUCCGGAGGACCGAGUACCGUUCACGCCCGGUCGUACUCAUAACGCGAUCAGGUCUCCAAGGUGAACAGCCUCUGGCCAAUGGAACAAUGUAGGCAAGGGAAGUCGGCAAAACGGAUCCGUAACUUCGGGAAAAGGAUUGGCUCUGAGGACUGGGCUCGGGGGUCCCGGCCCCGAACCCG
rnacentral:ncRNA from 1 species